rnacentral:misc_RNA from 1 species
GGUACAGCCUCUCAAGAUUUGUUUAAUGCCAUCAUGUCCAAAACACUACAGACCUACCUUAAAACAAUGGAGGAACAUGUAUCUGAGUGUUAUGACUCUAUUGCCAUUUUCCUGUCCAUUCACAUUGUACACAGAUUUAGGAACAUCAUGCACAAGAGAGCUGUACCCGCUCUUGACAGAUACUGGGACACCCUCCUUGGAAUCAUGUGGCCAAGGUUUGAAACAAUUUUACACCUCAACAUACAAAGCGUACGAGAUGUGGAUCCUCAGAAGUUUGGACAUAUUGACAACAGGCCACAUUAUAUCACCAGGAGAUAUGCAGAGUUUUCAGCAGCCAUUGUGGGAAUCAACCAGUCCUUCCCUGACGACCGAGUCCAUCAUUUACUGGAACAGCUUCAGACCGAGGUCGAAAACUUCAUCCUCAAGAUGGCUGCCGAGUUUCCUCUAAGAAAAGAGCAGCUGAUAUUUCUCAUCAACAACUACGACAUGAUGUUAGGUGUACUACUGCACGCAUCUGCUACUAAGUUUAGACAGGAGAGAACGGCAGAAGAGUCGAAGGAAUCAGAGAGUUUCAAGGAACUUCUGACGGCACGGACCCAAGAAUUCAUUGAGGAGGUAUUGUCCCCUCACUUCGGAGGCAUGAUUUCCUUUGUUAAGGACUGUGAAAACACCAUAGAGAGGGCAGGAGUGGAGGCCCUGCGACCAGAUGAGAGAAGAGUACAAUCUAUUGUGCGGGGCUUUAACAAUGACUGGAAGCGAGCUCUGGAGCUUAUCAAUGGUGAUGUCAUGAGGGCAUUUACUAAUUUCAAGAAUGGCACACAGAUUUUACAGGGAGCCUUGACGCAACUGAUUCAAUAUUACCACAGAUUCCAAAAAGUUCUGGGACAGGGACCAUACAAAAAUAUGCAAAUAAGAAAUGAACUCAUUAAUAUUCAUCAUGUGAUGGUGGAAGUCAAAAAAUAUAAACCGACCUUUUAAGACCAUGACAGGAGAUAAGAAUGAUAAAAUGCUGUUAAUAUUGAGAGCAAGAUUGAUUGCAUAUGUCAUACAUAUGUGGACAGAAAAAUUAUUUAUAAAACCCAUUUCCUAGUGCAAUACUUUGACAGGAAGAAGCGUUGAUAUGUUUUAUUGUAUAUGGUGAAUAUGCAUGUAAUGAUGUGUAUUAAAAAUACAAAUUAU